GCGAGUGUGGUUCAGUGGCAGAACGGCUCCUUCCCAAGGAGCAGACAGGGGUCCGAUUC
rnacentral:tRNA from 1 species